ACAGAAAAGAAAGGAUGCCGUCUAGGUCUUGCCCUCAGGACCAUCCAUCCUAUUUCCAAUGAGCCAUCCCUCUAGAACGCCUGCAGAUGUGCUCCAGAUUCGAGCUCGCCGGCGAGAAUAGCAACGACGAGAAACACGGGGAGGAGGGGCAUCUCUGCUGCCUGCUGCUCUCCAUUGGGUAUUUGGGUUCCCUCUCUCAGGUGGCGCGAGACGUGGAGGGCGCUGACUUUGCUCGAGCGCGUCAAGGUGCAAGGAGUGGUGAACUCCCCUCAUCUCCAGUAUAGGCCUUCGAUUUGAGGAUUUCCUCCCCGCUCUUUCCGCACACAUCUCGCGCCAAAUAUGACCGCGCCGCAGCACAUGGCCACAUCCCAAGGAGAGGUCUGGGUAGGUAUUUUGAUGGCGGAGGGGAUCAAGUCUGCGUGCGGCCGCCUCGCCACAGCUCGGCUCAAGGCCGGGCGACUCUCCCCAUGGGGAAGAAGAGGAAGGCGCAGCUCAGAUGCUCUUGCCUCUUCCGCCAAGAAGCACCACAACGGCCAGAGCACACCCUCUCCGGGUUAAGGACCAGCCGGACUCUGCCGCUAAUCCCGUUUCUAAAGAUGGCGUCGCCACGGCACCAUUCCGGAACCAGAAAAAUAUGCUCAUUACAUGCUUCCGCAAUAUCCCAAUUAUCUGCAGGUGGUAGCGAACUGCCAACUGAUGCAGAACGUCAUGUCGCUGCUACCGCACGCCAAGAAUGACAGUAAGUUGGAGUCAAAGGCUCGAACCAGAUCAAGGGCGGCCAACCGAACGAGCUGGUCGAGCUCAGGAGCUGCUCCAGCUGCCUCUUCUUCAAGGAGACCUGCAUAAUAGUACUUGCAUUAGAGGCCGCUAAAUCAUACUUCAUUCAACAUGGAACAAGUUCGUGUUUGGUGCUCAAUCAACUUCGAGCUUCAACGUUGAUCUGUAUUGUUAUUCUGAUGUGAAGGUCUACUGACGAAAAAAAAGAUCUACUGAGCUUUGUAAAUAACAUUGCCUGUUUUACCAUGUUGUCGCUAUAGUGUGACAUAGCUCAAGAAUUAGGCAGUUUGAAUAUGCACUACAGCUGCUAAUCCUUAUAUAUAUUAAAGCAUCUUCUACAUGUGUACUGCAGUACAAAAAUCAGAAAUAUCUUUACCCGGCUGCCAUCGUUGGGAUGCAAGCCAAGUCCUAGCUCAGUCGUUUGCAAUAAAAGCCAAUGGUACCAAGUUGAACUCUAUGUGUCGCCGCCCUUCCCUCCCGAUAUCACCCAACAUUGCCCUUUCUAGCACUGUUCGCCCACCUGAACUUGUGCCACCAAUGGCAAUCCCAGACCAACGCCCCUGCCCUUGAAACUGUGCCUCCACCCAAGUCUCCCCCACCUCCAUGCAGGCAAGACUUCUUCCAUUAUCAUUUUGUAUAGCCUGUAAAUAUUCCUUUUUAUGAUUUCUGGAGAAGAUCUAAUAGAAACUAAGAUGUGGAAGAUUAACAGAAAUUUGUGCAAGAACAUAAAUUUACUUGUGAGAUGUGAACUUAAUUGAAGUUUUGUGUAUUUAUUUAUGAUGUUCCCUCAAUUGUAUUUCUGUACAUGACAAGCGAACCUAUGUUAUCUCUAUUAUAUUUUUUUCAUAAGCUGGGUGCCAGUGAGCGGGAUGGAUUCCGUUCGCAGUGACCUUCAUUUUGUCAUGGCGAGUUGGAUCCAACAAUAUGGUGGCGAGGGAGUUCCAAUUGUCCUUUGGAUUCUUCGUGAAGUGGGAGUGCCAGCAAAUCCAUGGUGCUGACGGGCUCGAUCUGGUGGUAGGGCUCUCCAUGCCUUGGCUCCACAUCAACACAACAACCUCUAGGAAGAGCUUGGUACCAGUACGCCUUCCCAAUUUGUGGCUACAAAAUGUUCUUCCAGAUUUUCUCCAAGGUCAUUCAUUCACCCGGUUCGAACGGUGCCAAAAGAACUGAUAUGUACAUAUAUCAAUCUUGGAGCUAAGGAAUUCGGGGCAUGUGUAGCUACAGUGUCCAAGUCAAAGAUAUUUGUGGAUUGCGGACUCUAAAUAAGUCUGAUUUAAUUUCAUGAUGAAAGGAAAUUUGUUAUCCUAUGUGAAGAUUAACCUGCCGGUUUUUUGUAUCCUUCUAUUCCGGAGUUACUCUUUCUUCUCUUGCUAGGUAUUAAUGUGUCAUGAACUAAUGUAUAUAUGAUCGUGAAAUACCAUUCUUUUGCUAUUCUUUUGUUUUAUGUUUGAGUCGUAUUUUGGUGGGGCGAAAGUUGUCCUAUAGACAUGCUUCUGUUGUAAUAUUUUGUGGCUUGCAACAAACCAUUUAAUCUCUUAGUUUCAUUCC